rnacentral:rRNA from 1 species
UACGAAGGGGGCUAGCGUUGCUCGGAAUCACUGGGCGUAAAGCGCACGUAGGCGGCUUUUUAAGUCAGGGGUGAAAUCCUGGAGCUCAACUCCAGAACUGCCUUUGAUACUGAGAGCUUGAGUCCGGGAGAGGUGAGUGGAACUGCGAGUGUAGAGGUGAAAUUCGUAGAUAUUCGCAAGAACACCAGUGGCGAAGGCGGCUCACUGGCCCGAUACUGACGCUGAGGCACGAAAGCGUGGGGAGCAACAGG